UGGGUCCCAAAAUUUUUCAAAGUUUUUUUGGGUCCCAAAAUUUUUCAAAGUUUUUUUGGGUCCCAAAAAAACUUUGAAAAAUUUUGGGCCC
rnacentral:pre_miRNA from 1 species